rnacentral:rRNA from 1 species
UACGUACCGGACGAACGUUAUUCGGAAUUACUGGGCUUAAAGAGUGCGUGGGCGGCCUUGCAGGUGGGGUGUGAAAGCCCACGGCUCAACCGUGGAAUUGCGCUCCAAACCGCAAGGCUUGAGGGAGACAGAGGUGAGCGGAACUGAUGGUGGAGCGGUGAAAUGCGUUGAUAUCAUCAGGAACACCCGUGGCGAAGGCGGCUCACUGGGUCUCUUCUGACGCUGAGGCACGAAAGCUAGGGGAGCGUAUGGG